rfam:Populus trichocarpa scaffold_15_contig_136, whole genome shotgun sequence.
UCGAUAGCUCAUGAUGGCUUGAGAACAUUGAAUAGUGUCUAGGUUGUAGGAUAGAUUUGGACUCCAAAACGGUAAAAUUGAGUCUUGGACUCUUCAUAAAUGUUUUAUGUAUAUGUCUUAGCUUUCUAUC